rnacentral:rRNA from 1 species
GACGUAGGGCGCGAGCGUUUGUCCGGAUUUAUUGGGCGUAAAGAGCUCGUAGGCGGCUUGUCGCGUCGUCCGUGAAAACUUGGGGCUCAACCCCCAAGCUUGCGGUCGAUACGGGCAGGCUAGAGUUCGGUAGGGGAGACUGGAAUUCCUGGUGUAGCGGUGAAAUGCGCAGAUAUCAGGAGGAACACCGGUGGCGAAGGCGGGUCUCUGGGCCGAUACUGACGCUGAGGAGCGAAAGCGUGGGGAGCGAACAGG